UUUCACUUGAGGGUUUAAAGAGAAAUAAAAUAAAAUAAAAUAAGAGAAAAGAAACGUUUUUUUUUCUUCUUUUCUCUCUCGCGCGUCCGGUCGUCACCGCAUCUAAAUCCAAUUUCUUUUUCUUUCUUCCGAUAUGCAAACCCUAGCCGCUGACAAGUGUUGAAGUCGUCACCGCAUCCUAGAUCGCCGCAGACCCUUCGUGCCGAGCACUGAUCAGCUCCGUCGCGCUAAGCCUAUCCAUCCGUCCCUGUCGUCACGCUCAGCCACGAACCGCGCGGCGUCGAUCUCCACGCCCUAUGUCGAUUUCCAUUUCAUCAUCCGACAUUCUAUCCGUCAACCUUCAGCAGUGGUAAGGGCAAGGAUACUCGGGCGACUGAUAAGAGGAAUCUGUGACCGUACCAAAGGAACUAGGAACGCUUACACAUUUGAAUUUAUACGUCUUCUCAUGUUUUUAUAGUUUUCUUUUCACAAACCUUCCUUGACUGGGUCUAAGGGUUUGUGAUUUCUUUUUCAGUUAAUAUUUUCUUUCGUUUUUUUUAAAUUUUAUUUUCAUAUUUAAGGGGUACUCCGAUUCAAGUGAUUUGAAAUCUUGAGUUAAAGUCUGACUAGAUUCUAUAUUCACUUAAGUAGUAACGACCCCUUCUAGCUGUCUUAAGAAGUUGAGUUGUUACAAUUGGUAUUAGAGCCCAUGUUUUGGGUUCUGUAGACUAACUUACUAUGUAAGUUCAGGUUGUUCCUUUUGGCCAAUAAUGGAUUCUUCGUCAUCGCCAGGUAUGUCCCUUAUGAAAAGUAUUUAGGAUAAUAUACACUCAAAUAUGUAGCACUUAUGACUGCAUUUGAUGUGUUUUACUGGUAAGAGGAGUUGUUAAAAGUUGGUUGCGAACAAUUGCUAGGAAAUAGUACAUGUUAGGGGAAGAGGCAGUCACAGAAUUACCCGAAGGGGGUGCGAUCCCAAAGGGCAGAACCUGACAGUUCAAGAUCAAGAUCUUCAUGGUGAGGAUCCAUAAAUUCAAGAUUCACCAAUUCAUGUCCCUCUAGUACCAGAAGAUCCCUUGCCGCCUAGAGACCCCUCAGGGUCAGGGUAGCAGCAAACCCAGACAUGAAGCCAAGCCCAGCACACGGCUACGCCCCUAUAGACAUAGGCCCCCUUAGUUGUCCCAACAUAGUUCACUGAUUGGGCAACUGUUAUAGGGGAAGCAGUCACAUCAAUCGUGUUGAGUAAGAUGAAGGACAUGCUAGAUGAGAGAAUGGUCCAGUUUGUCCAGUCCCAUCAGUUACCACUGUCGCAGGUUCAAAUUUCGCAAGUUUAGACUCAGAACAUAACUCAAAAUUAGAGCAUGUCAGACCUUUCAUUAGAGGCUAAACAUUUGCAAGAUUUUGGAAAGUACAACCCCAACACCUUCAACGGGUCACUAAAGGAUCCUACCAAUGCAGAGUUAUGGAUAUCAACGAUUGAAACGAUUUUCUGUUAAUGGUGGCAGUCAGCAGAAAGGAUGUUAGGUGCAAGGGGGAACCUGUGACAUGGGAGCAGUUCAAGGAAAGCUUUUACGCGAAGUACUUCUCUGCCAACUUAAGGUGUACAAUAAACAAAAAGAGUUCUUGAGUUGAGGCAGGGGCACAUGUCGGUGGAGGAGUUUGAUACCCUGUCCCGUUUUGCCUCAAAAUUGGUUGCUACGGAGGCUAUGAGAGUGGAAAGGUUCGUUCAAGGUCUAAAGGACAGUAUACGAGGUAUCGUGCGAGCCUUCAGACCAACCAUUCAUGCUGAAGCACUUCGCUUGGCAGUUGAGAUGGAUUCAUAGUCAGGGGAUGAACACUCUCAAGCAUUUAGGCUAGGACUUUCCUUAGGUCAUAAGAGGAAGGCAGAUCAGAUGGCUUUCGAGCUUAAUCAUAUUAGAGGAGUCAAAGCUCAGUUAAACCACUUCGACACUUUAAGCAACAAGCCACUGAGGCGGGUAUGGUAGAAAGAAGGCUAAUGUGUAACUCGUGUGGGAGAAGUCAUCGAGGAUGAUGUUUGGCGAGCACUGGGGUCUGUUUUCAUUGGAAACAGGAGGGGCACUCGAGUGAUAGAUGCCCUAAUAGAAACACGUCAGGUUACGGGAACCAGUCUGUAGGCCAUAAACAAAGGAAUUCGAAUAGACUUCAGCAACAACAAGGUCUGUUUACUCAACCACCCAACAGGAGGCCGAGAAGUCAGGCAUUGUUAUAAUAGGUACGCUUCCAAUCUUGGGACACUUUGCAUUGGUAUUGUAUAAUUCGGGUUCAUCCCAUUCAUUUAUAUCAUCAAUAUUUGUUAAACAUGUCAUGUUAGAAUUAGAGCCUUUGCGCUAUGUGUUGUCAGUAUCCACUCCGUCUGGAGAAAUUAUGUUAGCAAAGGAAAAGAUAAAAGCAUGUCAGAUCGAAGUAGCGAGUCAUAUACUAGAUGUGACUUUAAUAGUCUUGGACAUGCGUGAUUUUGGGCAUGGAUUGGCUAGCUGCUAAUCAUGUUAGUAUAGACUCCUCUUGCAAGGAGAUGCUUUUUAACCUUCCCACGGAAGCUAGCUUUAAACUUAAAGGGGCGGGACCGUGGUCCUGCCCAAAGUAAUUUUAGCUAUGAAAGCCAAGAGGUUGCUUAACCGAGGUACCUGGAGUAUCUUGGCUAGUGUUGUUGACACUAGAGAGCCUGAGGUCUCCUUAACUUUGGAGCCAAUAGUAAGAGACUACCUAGAUGUUUUUCUAGAGGAUUUCUCAGGUCUGGCUCCGCACCAGGAGAUAGAUUUUGCUAUAGAGCAAGGUAUAAAUCCUAUCUCGAAAGUUCUGUACAUAAUGACUCUAGUAGAAUUAAAGGAGCUUAAGAUUUAGUUGCUAGAGUUGCUGGAUAAGGAUUUCAUCUGCCCUAGUGCGUCAUCAUGGGGUGCACCAGUGCUUUUCGUGAAAAAAAAAAAAAGAUGGGUCAUUGUGUCUUUACAUUAACUACUGGGAGUUGAAUAAGGUGACUAUAAAAAAAUAAGUAUUCACUCCCAAGAUUGACGACUUGUUUGAUCAAUUACAAGUGGCUACAGUAUUUUCCAAGAUUGACCUUCAGUCAGGUUACCAACAGUUGAGGAUAAAGGAUAGUGAUGUUCCUAAGACAACUUUUUGUUCGAGGUGUAGGCAUUAUGAGUUCAUCUUGAUGUCGUUUGGUUUGACAAAUGCUCCUACAGUAUUUAUGGACCUGAUGAAUAUAGUGUUCAAGAAAUUCCUUGACAUCUUUGUGAUAGUUUUCAUAGAUGAUAUUCUGGUUUAUUCCAAGACAAAGACAGAACACAAAGAGCACUUAUGAAGGGUUUUAGAGACUUUGAGGGCGCAUAAGUUGUAUGCCAAGUUUUCCAAAUGAGAGUUUUGGUUGAGGCAGAUAUCCUUUCUAGGGUAUGUGGUUCAAAGGAAGGUGUAUCUGUUGACCCCGCAAAAAUUGAGGUAGUCACGAGCUGACCUCGCCCUACCACAGUCAAUGAGGUGCGUAGUUUUUUGGGGUUGGCGGGCUACUAUCGUCGUUUUGUGAAGGACUUUUCCCGCAUAGCCAGUUGACUCGAAAAAUAGCUUUCUUUAUUUGGAGUAAGGCUUGUGAGGAUAGUUAUUAGGAUCUUAAGCAAAAGUUGUUACUGCCCCAGUUUUCACUGUACCAGAUGGAACAAGUGGUUUUAUUAUUUACAGUGAUGCCUCCAAGAAAGGUUUGGGAAGCGUACUGAUGUAGCAAGAUAAGGUAGUUACUUAUGCCUCUCGUUAGUUAAAGAACCAUGAACAAAACUAUCCCACACAUGAUUUGGAAUUGGCAGCCGUGGUUUUUACCUUAAAAAUCUGGAGGCACUACUUGUAUGGAGAAAAGAUACAGAUUUUCACGGACCACAAGAGUUUAAAUACUUCUUCACUCAGAAUGAGUUAAACAUGAGACAACGUAGGUGGUUGGAGUUGGUGAAGGACUAUGAUUGUGAGAUUCUAUACCACCCAGGGAAGGAAAAAUGUAGUGGCAGAUGCUUUAGGUAGGAAGGCAACCCAUUCAACAGCCCUUAUCACCAGAAUACUCAAUUAUGCAAGGACCUGGAGCAGACCGAGAUUGUAGUGGUGGUGGGGGAGGUCACUGCACAGUUGGCAUAAUUAUCGGUGCAAUUAAGUUUGAGACAGAGAAUUAUCGAUGCAUAACCUGGUUGAAAUAAUGCGACAGGUGAAGUCAGGGAAGGGUUGAGUUUUCUAUGUCCGCAGAUAAUGGUCUUACUUUUCGGAGACGCUUGUGUGUACCAGCGAAGGGUGACCUCAAGAACGAUAUGUUAUUGGAGGCUCAUAAUUCCCUAUUUUCGAUACAUCUUGGCAGUACCAAAAUGUACCAGGACCUAAAACGUUGUUACUAGUGGAAUGACAUGAAAAGGGAGAUAACAGAGUUUGUCAGUAAGUACUUAGUGUGUCAGCAGGUGAAGGCCUUGAAACAAAAGUUAGCAGGCUUGUUGCAACCUUUGAGUGUUCCAGAAUGGAAGUGGGAGAGUGUGUCGAUGGACUUCAUUGUAGGGUUGUUGCGAAUCGCGAAGGGUUUUACAGUGAUUUGGGUUGUAGUAGACAGAUUCACUAAGCUAGCACGUUUCCUUUCAGGGAAGUUUAUUUUUUUUUGGUAAGUAAGUGGGCGCAGUUAUACAAGAAAGAGGUAGUGAGGUUGCAUGGAGUGCCUGUGUUCAUUGUGUCGGACAGAGACCCUUGCUUUACAUCUAAUUUUUGGAAGAGUCUCCAAGUAGCGUUGGGUACUUGUUUGGAUUUUAGUACAACCUUUCACCCACAGACGGAUGGUUAGACAGAGUGUCUAAACCAAAUGUUGGAGGAUAUGUUACAUGCUUAUGCGUUAGAUUUUCCGGGGAGUUGGGACUUUCACCUGCAUUUGAUGAAGUUUGUUUAUAAUAAUAGUUAUCAGGCUACCAUUGGCACGUCGCUGUUUGAGGCCUUUUAUGGGAAGAGAUGCAGGUCGCCCGUGUGCUGGGAUGAGGUAGGUGCACGGAAGUUGCUAGGACCUGAGUUAGUAUAGACCACGAAUAAGGCAAUAGAAAAGAUCAGAGCACGUAUGCAAACAACUCAAAGCAACAAAAAAGUUACGCCGAUGUUAGGUGUAAAGACUAGAGUUUAAAAACUGGUGACAAAGUGUUUUUGAAGGUGGCACCCAUGAAAGGUGUUAUGAGAUUUGGAAGAAAAGGAAGCUAAGUCCACAAUUUAUUGGGCCUUUCAAGAUCUUGGAACGGAUUAGGCCUGUGGCUUAUUGGUUAGUAAUGCCACCGUCUCUCUCCGUAGUUCAUAAUAUUUUUCAGCCUCCAUGUUAAGAAAGUAUAUAGUAGAUCGGUCUCAUGUAGUGGAUUAUGAGCCAUUGCAGUUGAACGAGAACUUAAGUUAUGAGGAGAGGCCUGUUCGAAUUCUUUCCAUGGAGGUGAAGACUUUAUGCAACAGGAAUAUAGCUCUUGUGAAGGUUUUGUGGUAAAAUCACCAAUUCGAGGAGACUACAUAGGAGCGAGAGGAGGAGAUGAGAAUCCAAUACCCUAAGCUUUUUCAAGAAUGAACUUUCGAGGACGAAAGUUUCUUAAGAAGGGAAGAAUGUGACAUUCCAAAUUUGUUCGUCAUUUAAAAUUUGUAUUUUGUGGUAAUUGCGAAUAUUUUAAAUCUUGGAGGAUAAAUUGAAUUACUGUAAAGGACGAUUCAAAUUAAAUAUUUUCUCAGAGAAGAAUUCUGAAAUUUAAAUUUGAUUAAAGGAAAUUUUGUGACUUGUGUCUAAUUGUUUCAAUUUUUAAUUUAUUUUGAAAAAUCGAAUUAAAAUUUGAAGUUUCGAGUUCGUCUUGUAUUCUCUGGAGAAGUUAAUUAAAUUAAAUCAAUUUAUUGUGAUAAUUGGUUUAAAAUAUCCUUUCCAAAAAGGAUAUGAGAUUCUAAAUCCAAAAGGAAUUUGGAUAUUUGGAUUUUUGAGAAAGAAAAGAAAAGGGUUUAAGUUUAUUUAAAUAGGUUAAGUCUUACUUGAGUGUUAAAGAAAUUUUUUUUAAAAAAAAAACAAAGGAAAAGAGAAAAGAAAAGUUUUUUUUUUUCUUCUUUUCUCUCUUGCACGCCAGGUCGUCCCCCCCCCCCUUUCGUUUUAUUUUUCUUUCUUCCGGUACGCAAACCCUAGCCACCGCCAAGUGUUGAAACUGUCGCCGCGUCCCAGAUCACCGCAGACCCUUCGUGCCGAGCACCAGUCAACUCCACCGCGCCCCUUGUCCGCGUCAAGCCCAUCCAUCCGUCCCUGUCGUCGCGUUCAGCCACAAACCACAUGCCGCCGAUCUGCACGCCCUGCGCCAAUUUUCGUUUCGUCAGCCGACGUUCUGUCCGUCAAGCUUCAGCAGUGAUAAGUCGCACGUCGCUACCAGUCGCCGAUCAGGGUUGCCGCCACUGCCUUGGUCGUCCUUGUCUAAAACCUUGAAUUUUUUUCUUUUGGAGACUGACGGGUCUAGUCUCAUGUCUUGACUGUUGGGGAUGAUGCCCUAAACUCUUGUUGGGUCAUGUAGUUUGUAAAUAUUGUAUUGAACAAACACUUGUGAUGUAAAUGAUAUUUUUCUUCAUUUUUGUCUAUGGAACAUUGGAUGUUUUAA